rnacentral:rRNA from 1 species
AUAGCUUGCUAUCAAUGCUGACGAGCGGCGGACGGGUGAGUAAUGCCUGGGAAUAUGCCCUGAUGUGGGGGAUAACUAUUGGAAACGAUAGCUAAUACCGCAUAAUCUCUUCGGAGCAAAGAGGGGGACCUUCGGGCCUCUCGCGUCAGGAUUAGCCCAGGUGGGAUUAGCUUGUUGGUGGGGUAAUGGCUCACCAAGGCAACGAUCCCUAGCUGGUCUGAGAGGAUGAUCAGCCACACUGGAACUGAGACACGGUCCAGACUCCUACGGGAGGCAGCAGUGGGGAAUAUUGCACAAUGGGGGAAACCCUGAUGCAGCCAUGCCGCGUGUAUGAAGAAGGCCUUCGGGUUGUAAAGUACUUUCAGUUGUGAGGAAGGCGUUGAUGUUAAUAGCUUCAGCGUUUGACGUUAGCAACAGAAGAAGCACCGGCUAACUCCGUGCCAGCAGCCGCGGUAAUACGGAGGGUGCGAGCGUUAAUCGGAAUUACUGGGCGUAAAGCGCAUGCAGGUGGUCUGUUAAGCAAGAUGUGAAAGCCCGGGGCUCAACCUCGGAACAGCAUUUUGAACUGGCAGACUAGAGUACUGUAG